rnacentral:lncRNA from 1 species
UACUGACCGUGUUGGGAGUUGCUUUUUAUUCUUGCCAUGGUUUAUAUUGCAGCAAAAUUACAGAAAGGAUUCCCUUUGCCUAACCUGGACCAGAUUACCCUUGUUAAUUCCGACAUUGAAGUUCAUCAGGGGUUCCUCUUGGUUUCCACUGAUGUUCACUACAAUCCUUCCCUAAGAAAGCAGUACACCAGAGUGGCCAGAAAGGAGAGGGCCCUUCGGCUGGAUUUGGAAGACUGACCUGAACCUCCUUAUCGACGGAGCAUCCAGGAAAAAAAUUGAGACGAGUCCCUCGGAGAGAGACAGGAAAGAGCCCGGGGAACGUUGGCAUUCAAGGAACCCCUCAAGGGGUAGGGUCAAAGUCUAAUUCCCACCCGUACACUCUUUCCUAGCCCAUAGAAUAGUGGUCUGCAUACAGUAAGCGCUUAAUAAAUACUCUCAAUCAAUCAAUUGUAUUUAUUGAGCGCUUACCGUGUGCUCUGUUUGCCAAACACACAGUACUAAGCCCUUGGGAGAGUACGAUAUCACAAGAAUUGGUAGAUACGUUCCCUCCCCACGAUGAGCUUACGGUCUAUUAUUACUACAGUGAUGAGCUUUUUAAACCCAGGCAGAUUUUCAAAUUGGUUUUCCUUUCUAGAGCCUCAGAACUCCAGAAAGAAGAAUAGGUUACAGUGGUGUGGGUGUUGUGCGUGCGCAUCCGUGCGUGUGUGAACAUGAAUGUCCUGUUCAUGUCCAUGAGAAUGGUUGCCGGGAUGGAACAGCAGGCCUGGCAAUUCCUCGCAUUAGUAAGAGGCUGUUAAAAUUUUGACCUUCCUCCUGUCGGACUCUGUUGUGUUUUGUACCCGCCAUUACAUUUUCUGCUCACUGUGCCCGCCCUUUAAUUAAAAUAUUUUCUACGUACUUCAGCUCAGGCUCCACUUCAUUCAAGAAAGAAGUCAGUGAGCAGCUGAAUUUUAAGUCUGACGGUUGGCAGCAGACCUUAAAAAGUCCACGUGGCUUUGGACUUUAGGUUCAAUUUAGACUUGGGGUUGAGUACGUUUAGGCAUUGCCUGCCGUGCUUCUUUCAGCUUUCCUCUGACAUUGUAUAAUGACAACAAAAGAAAUUAGUCCUGUUACUUCAAACAAUUUUGUGCCUGUGAUUUUUAUUAAGUUAAAUAGCCAGAGAUUCAAUUCAAUGACAGAGCAGGGCAACAGACCUCAAAGAUGAUUCGUGCCUAAGGGAGGAAUUUUUGUUAUGUCCUUACAAAGCUGAAAAAAGUAAUAUUAUUAAAGAGCUUCAGCGUUCCUUCGUCUGAAGUGAUGUUUUUCUUGUCUGGGAAGAUCACGGAGUUCACAUCUACAGAUUCACUUGGAAAGGUUAUGCUUUUUGAUAUAGUCCAUUAAACCGAUGUUAUAUUUUUAUAGUGUCAGAGU